rnacentral:lncRNA from 1 species
UUUAUAAAGUUGUUUGAAGCGUCUAUGAUAAACAGAGAGCAAAUUAGAAUCCAAGGAAGUUGACAUGUCAUCACUUCAUUUUUUUGCGCCUGCGCAUAAAUCUGAGAAACGUGAGUUUUGUCUUCAUUGUUUAUCUCGACAUAGGAUAGGUUGUGUGAAAAUAUUACUGAUGUUUAACGUUAAAAAUGGACCAAAAGAUUAAUGCUAAACAACAUUUGACAUGUUUGAAUGAACAUAAAUAGAUUAUUUACUAGGUUUUUUUAGCUUUUCGGCGUGAUUUUACAGUCCCCCACCACGUUUUGUGGGAGCAUAAUGAACGCUAAGUACUUGGUGUUAUUUGGACAUAAAUUAUGAACUUUGUCAAAAGAAACCACAUUUGUUCCGGACCUGUGAUGCCUUCCGGACCUGGGAUGCCAGUCUUCUGAUGGAGAUAAUCAAAGAUCUCUUGAUCCAUCCUCUGGCUGCAUUUUAAGUACAUAGGUUCCACAAGGUAGGGGUGUACCCCCUGCUACUCCUCAGUAAGAGCAAGAAGGAAACGUUUUGUCGUCAACUGCAGUGUCCUCACAGUGGUAUGAUGAAUCAGACCUCAAUGGCAGCAAUCCAAAGGUUGUUGGUGGCAAUUGUGAAAGGUUGAACCCCCGAUAUCCCCCACCGCCCAGGAGACCAGCUACACCCGGAUCCCCAACCAGGUUGAACCCCCGAAAACCCCCACCGCCCAGGAGACCAGCUACACCCAAACCGAACCAAAGAAGACGGGAAGAAAGUCCUGUCACCCUCAAAAAACCAUCUAACCCGCUGAGCAUGACAGUCAACCCCCAACCAAGGAAGUAGAAAUAUGACUACAUGCAAAAAGUGUCCAGUGCAUCCGGAGCAAAUGAUUUUCCCUAUUCUCAAAAUUCUUGCCAAUAGAACUUCAAAGGAGGGUCAGGAGCAGAAAGUGAAGUGGAAGCCGUGCUCUGGAUGAAGAUGAGUAUACACGUUCCCGCUGCGUUUUGGUCUGAUCCUUACGACACCCGUUACAGAACUACCCACCACCAAAGGACCAAGCAGCGGAGAAAGGAGCAGCAGGUGGACUACAGGGAGUCGUGGACAUGGGAGGAAAUUCUGGACGGGGAUGGACCAUGGCACCAGGCUGGUGAACACCGUCGCCCACCGGAACAGGUGGAGGCAGCCAGGAGAGCGGAGAUACGAGAGGCUGAAGAGGACCGGGAACGCUACAGGGGAACACGGCUGGCAAGGAAGCCGGAGAGGCAGCCCCAAGACAUUUUUUGGGGGGGGGCACACGGGGAGUGUGGCUAAGUCAGGUCGUAGACCUAAGCCAAUUCCCUGUGCUUAUUAUGGGGGGCGUAUGGAGUGGAGAGCGCCGGAGUAUGCGGAAGUGCGCAC